GGCCAGGUCUAGCCGGCCCUAGGUACGACUUUAAACAUCCAGUAGUUUGUGUGUUAAGGAGAUAGAGAGAGAGAGAGAUAUAUAUUACGGCAUCAUUGCUAUAAGAUUUCUCAAAACAAAAGUGUCAAUCUGUUGAAAUAUAGUAUUUAAAAUAUAUAAAUUUUAUCCAUUAAAAUAUAAGAUUUCUUUUUUAAAAAAAAAAAUCCAGUUCAAUUAGGAAAAAAGCGCCAGGGUCCUUGCAGUUACGCAAGUAUGCCGGGAGAGAGAAAGAAAACCAGUUCCCGGUUUUUUUUUAACCAUUUAAGACGGAGGGAGAAAUUCAACCAUUUUUUAGGUAGAGGAAAUGGAGCAACGACCGUUCUCUUAGAUCAGAUCCAUCUGUUUAAAAGCACUGGCUGUCCUCCCUGCACGCCGUGGGUGACGGUAAGUUUGCCCCAGCACCGUGCUUCAAGUUCCAUCCGGAAAAUACCCCUCGUCAUCUGGCACACGGGUCAGCAAGAUCGUUAACGCCGCAGCCUCCGCCCUGGACGAAGGUCCCUGCGGGCACCGAGGGUCCCCAGUGAAUACUCUGCAAGGCAGCUUUCAAGUAUCAAGUUGAGCUGAUGUUUUUGGAGCCCGAUUACUGGAAAUAACCGGCGAAAAUUAUUGCGCUGUUAACGGAUGAUGGGGAAGGGCGUUAGAAACGCCAAGAGCCCCGAGGGCGGGCCGCCACCGAAGGCCACAUCUGGGCAGACAACACACGCUCCACCGAGCCCAGGCUCCGAGCCAGCCUGCCGUGCCCGACUUCACGCCUUUAAGUGGAAAUUUUUAGUGCAUCGCUCACCUGAGCUUUCUUAGUGGUUCGAACCCGAAGACAGCCAGCUUGGAGCAGGGGCAGGGCAGGCUUGCAUCGCCCCGAGCGCCCGCGCCUGUGCGCCCGCGGGCCGGGAGGGCCGGGCUCCUCUCCCAGCUCUACCGCCAAGCCAUCGGGUGUCUGGGAGAGGAGGGGCGAUGCGUCAGACACCUCGGGAUGCCUCCUCGGGCCGCUCUUGGACACGUAAGGACAGGUCUUGGGUGUGCUGAGAGAUCUCUCAACUGAGCCAGACGUACCUGCAGGGUACGUGUCAGCAAGGAGAACGUCCUUCCCGAAAUCACCCGGCCAGCGUUUCUAGAUUUCCAUGUUAGUGGGAAGAACGUGAAACCCUCUGGCCUCGGGAGAGGCAGGGACCGGGAGAAAAGCUGCGUUUGCUCCCUGGGUCACGGCACCCAGAGCGCGGCUCCCACCUGCUCUACCCGAGCUCUCUGCUGCGUCACUAACAUGAACGUGCAAGUUCCUAUGAGGCUUUUCAGCAAAAUCCUUAUUUUAUGUCUUUCUUCGCUGCGUUUGGCUUUCUACUUAAAGAAAGUAACCUACGAUCUGUACUGCUGGUGCAGACAGUGAGAUACAUUCAUUUACAAGUACUACGGGUGGAUCUGUUUGGUACUUCCUAGCAGGAAUACGGACCAGCCUCCCUCCCCAACAGCCCUCAAGUCAGGUCAUUCGAACGCGCUGACAUCGGUAACAGUCUGACCACCACAGCCAGCUGCAGCGUAAGGAAGAAAACGGGGCAGACAGAGAGGGGAAGACUGUUUCUAGAACAGAAAAAAGCCUACUUUCCGUGAGUAGAGCUCUGAUUUCUCUUGGCAUAUCGAAGCGGCAAGGCAAGGAACGGACGAGGGCCUUAUCCCGUACCCCACGUACUGCUCACACAACCCUCCCAGCCGGGGAACCCAAAUGUCACCAACUGCAUGUAGAGGCGUUGCAGUGUAUUCACGGGGACGACGGACACUUCCUUCAGACCAAUGGACCAGAAAGCUGGAGGAUUUUUUUCUCUCUCUUUUUUUUUUUUUUGUUAAUCUGAAAGGACUCUGGCUUCUCUCUGAACUGGACCUACAAAUGUCUUACCACCAAAAUGAAAAAACAAUUGUUGCGGGUGGAAGUAUGACAAAAAAUAGUUUUCCUAUAAGAUAAUCUGAUAAACCUCAUCGUCCUCUAGAAAGGCAACAUCGUCCACCAGUGCUA